rnacentral:piRNA from 1 species
UGGAGAAAUACAUUCCUGUGUUGAUGG